CAGGGCACUCUGCAUACGAGGCUAACAAACCGCUUAAACAGGAGAUGGUCACAGGCUCGGGAAAGCUUUCCUCCCGCCCUCUUUGUGGUCACACAAAACAGUCAAUUACUUCCGUCUGAAACAGAGGCCAGGUCUGUUCUCAAAAACCACGCUCUGGAGGAGGUAUAGGAAUAUCCGAUGGUUACUUGAGCUAGUUCAGGUGGCUUAGAGAAGGGCAAAAUGGUUCCUUUACAGACUAGAAAAAUCACUUUAACAAAGAACAAACGUCUCCGGGGGAAGAUCAUACAGAACCUCAGAAAAUUGAGGACAAAAUCACAGAACACCAGAUACCAAGGCAGGUUCCAGAAUACUAGUGGUCUAAGAGAACGGAUAAGAGUCAUGGUCACUAGAAGUGGAAUGGUCCAAAAAGCCUCAGAAAGUACAGGAUUGAAAGAAUGAGACAACCAAAUAUUAACUUCUGGAUAACUUCCAACUCUCUAUCCACCAACCCACCCCCCCAAUGCCCACCUCACCCCACCCCAUCUCUUUAGGGAUAAGUCAGUCUCCUAGCAUUUGACUGAUGGUACAAGAGUCAGUUUUUUGUUUUUGUUUUUGUUUUUUUUAACUUUUUAUUAAGAUUAUGAUAGUUUACAACCUUGUGAA